rnacentral:rRNA from 1 species
UAGGGAAUAUUGCACAAUGGGGGAAACCCUGAUGCAGCGACGCCGCGUGAAGGAAGAAGGCUUUCGGGUUGUAAACUUCUUUUCUGAGGGACGAUAGUGACGGUACCUCAGGAAUAAGCCACGGCUAACUACGUGCCAGCAGCCGCGGUAAUACGUAGGUGGCAAGCGUUAUCCGGAUUUACUGGGUGUAAAGGGCGUGUAGGCGGGAUGGUAAGUCAGAUGUGAAAACUAUGGGCUCAACCCAUAGCCUGCAUUUGAAACUAUCGUUCUUGAGUGUUGGAGAGGCAGGCGGAAUUCCGUGUGUAGCGGUGAAAUGCGUAGAUAUACGGAGGAACACCGGUGGCGAAGGCGGCCUGCUGGACAAUAACUGACGCUGAGGCGCGAAAGCGUGGGGAGCAAACAGGAUUAGAUACC